rnacentral:rRNA from 1 species
UCGCACCCAAGGUUUGUGGCGGUGAACCUGCAGAAGGAUCAAAGGCGAGUUAAUUCAAACCUGCCGGACUAGACGAUGAGACGAGGGUUAAUUAGGAUUUUGUUGAAUCGUGGGUGGUGUUGCUUGCCGUGUGUAAUUGGGACUUCUUUUUUUUUCACAACACCGAUGCGACCGAUCCUCUUGCUAGAGGGCGUGCCCCUGCGGAUGCGCUGGAUUAUUAGCUUUGUGCUGGUGCCCUUUCCAAACGAAAACAUAUAGUGCAUGUGUGUAUUUUAUGAGCUUAGACGCGCGGGGCCCCACACACGCUAUUGGAAGCUCUUCCUAUUCUUCGCACACUAGGUCAGAAAGGUCGGGUGACUUGUUUCGGCCACUGGAUUAAGCGCAUUCAGCGGUUUACUACUGCUACGAGCCAGAAAUUGAAAACGGGCGCAGUAAUUUGCUAUCAAAGGGCCAGCCAAUGGCCAGGAACACAAAAGUACUUGUUGUUGGGUGUUUUUCUUUAGGACUCCACCCCUCCUG